GGGUUGUGAGGUUAAGCGACUAAGCGUACACGGUGGAUGCCCUGGCAGUCAGAGGCGAUGAAGGACGUGCUAAUCUGCGAUAAGCGUCGGUAAGGUGAUAUGAACCGUUAUAACCGGCGAUUUCCGAAUGGGGAAACCCAGUGUGUUUCGACACACUAUCAUUAACUGAAUCCAUAGGUUAAUGAGGCGAACCGGGGGAACUGAAACAUCUAAGUACCCCGAGGAAAAGAAAUCAACCGAGAUUCCCCCAGUAGCGGCGAGCGAACGGGGAGCAGCCCAGAGCCUGAAUCAGUGUGUGUGUUAGUGGAAGCGUCUGGAAAGGCGCGCGAUACAGGGUGACAGCCCCGUACACAAAAAUGCACAUACUGUGAGCUCGAUGAGUAGGGCGGGACACGUGGUAUCCUGUCUGAAUAUGGGGGGACCAUCCUCCAAGGCUAAAUACUCCUGACUGACCGAUAGUGAACCAGUACCGUGAGGGAAAGGCGAAAAGAACCCCGGCGAGGGGAGUGAAAAAGAACCUGAAACCGUGUACGUACAAGCAGUGGGAGCACGCUUCGGCGUGUGACUGCGUACCUUUUGUAUAAUGGGUCAGCGACUUAUAUUCUGUAGCAAGGUUAACCGAAUAGGGGAGCCGAAGGGAAACCGAGUCUUAACUGGGCGUUAAGUUGCAGGGUAUAGACCCGAAACCCGGUGAUCUAGCCAUGGGCAGGUUGAAGGUUGGGUAACACUAACUGGAGGACCGAACCGACUAAUGUUGAAAAAUUAGCGGAUGACUUGUGGCUGGGGGUGAAAGGCCAAUCAAACCGGGAGAUAGCUGGUUCUCCCCGAAAGCUAUUUAGGUAGCGCCUCGUGAAUUCAUCUCCGGGGGUAGAGCACUGUUUCGGCAAGGGGGUCAUCCCGACUUACCAACCCGAUGCAAACUGCGAAUACCGGAGAAUGUUAUCACGGGAGACACACGGCGGGUGCUAACGUCCGUCGUGAAGAGGGAAACAACCCAGACCGCCAGCUAAGGUCCCAAAGUCAUGGUUAAGUGGGAAACGAUGUGGGAAGGCCCAGACAGCCAGGAUGUUGGCUUAGAAGCAGCCAUCAUUUAAAGAAAGCGUAAUAGCUCACUGGUCGAGUCGGCCUGCGCGGAAGAUGUAACGGGGCUAAACCAUGCACCGAAGCUGCGGCAGCGACACUAUGUGUUGUUGGGUAGGGGAGCGUUCUGUAAGCCUGUGAAGGUGUGCUGUGAGGCAUGCUGGAGGUAUCAGAAGUGCGAAUGCUGACAUAAGUAACGAUAAAGCGGGUGAAAAGCCCGCUCGCCGGAAGACCAAGGGUUCCUGUCCAACGUUAAUCGGGGCAGGGUGAGUCGACCCCUAAGGCGAGGCCGAAAGGCGUAGUCGAUGGGAAACAGGUUAAUAUUCCUGUACUUGGUGUUACUGCGAAGGGGGGACGGAGAAGGCUAUGUUGGCCGGGCGACGGUUGUCCCGGUUUAAGCGUGUAGGCUGGUUUUCCAGGCAAAUCCGGAAAAUCAAGGCUGAGGCGUGAUGACGAGGCACUACGGUGCUGAAGCAACAAAUGCCCUGCUUCCAGGAAAAGCCUCUAAGCAUCAGGUAACAUUAAAUCGUACCCCAAACCGACACAGGUGGUCAGGUAGAGAAUACCAAGGCGCUUGAGAGAACUCGGGUGAAGGAACUAGGCAAAAUGGUGCCGUAACUUCGGGAGAAGGCACGCUGAUAUGUAGGUGAAGUCCCUCGCGGAUGGAGCUGAAAUCAGUCGAAGAUACCAGCUGGCUGCAACUGUUUAUUAAAAACACAGCACUGUGCAAACACGAAAGUGGACGUAUACGGUGUGACGCCUGCCCGGUGCCGGAAGGUUAAUUGAUG
rnacentral:rRNA from 1 species